AAACAGAAGAAAAACUUCAAAAAAGUUCUCUCUCCCCUCAGCCCGUCGUGUCUAGUCCGACCAUAGGUCGGUCAUCGGCCACCACGCCGGCCGCCGUUCUCCGGCACCGGCACUACCGUCUGUAGUGGCUGAAAAGGGGGAGAAUCUCAGAUCCGGUUCCUCCGAGGCCCCUAAGCCAAGAUCUGGCCCCGAAACCCACAAAACACAACUGCAAAAGCCUCAAAUCUCCGAGAAACCUUUCGUUUUCCGACCAUUCACGGAGGUUCUGGGCACCACUCAGGUCGUUUUUUCAUUUUUUUAUUUUAUUCGUAUGUACACAAAAAAAUAGUAAAUAGCAGUAGAUUAUAGAAAUCAACCUUUUUUUUAUUGAUGUUUGUACGAUUAGUAUUCUGAUGUUUUGCUGUGAGGAAAAAAACCCCUCUCUUUAUUGAUUUUCCAAAUCGGAUCCUUAUUACAGUGUGUUAAGAUUGCUUUUAUAGAAAUCGUAAAAAUACAAAGAAAUCUGCUAAUAUCUGUUUGAUUUGAUUUCGAAAUCCUUGAUUUUCUUUCCUUUCUUGUGUUUGCAGGUGAAGAUCGCGCAGAGAUUCGGACUAGGUGGCUGCGGCGCGAGUUCUCCCCAGAAACCCUAGGGUUUCUGCCAUUGUUUUGGGCCACUAGAUUUGGGUCUCUGCUUUAUUUCAUUUUGGGCCAUGUAUUCUGGGCCCAUUAUUUGUUUUAGAUUCAGCUUUGUAAAAACAAACUGGACUUUUUAUUUUAUUUAUAUUUAUAAAAAGGGUCGGGUAAAUUUUGGGUAUUACAAAA
rnacentral:lncRNA from 1 species